UACGUAGGUGGCAAGCGUUGUUCGGAAUUAUUGGGCGUAAAGGGCGCGUAGGCGGUUUGUUAAGUCGGCUGUGAAAGCCUGGGGCUCAACCCCAGAGGGUCGGCCGAUACUGGCAGACUAGAGGACGGAAGAGGUAGCUGGAAUUCCCGGUGUAGUGGUGAAAUGCGUAGAGAUCGGCAGGAACACCCAGGGGGAAACCAGUCGACUGGGCAUCUACUGACGCUGAGGUGCGAGAGCGUGGGGAGCGAACCGG
rnacentral:rRNA from 1 species